CAGCUUCCCCUCCUCCCGCUUACGUAUCAUCUCCCGCUGGAAUCGAGCCACGGAGCGCAGCAGUUCGUCUCCGCCCAUCUCCGACGGCGGCAGCACGAUGCUGCAGUCCAGGAAGCUGUUGAUGGCGUUCAGGAGGUCCUGACGGUCGUCCGCCAGGAGAAAGGACAAUAAACAAGAAAGGAAACGACAUCUCUGUGGGCGCACCUUGUCGGACAUGAGCGUGGAGAUGGAGCGUCCAAUCUGGUGGUAGUCCAUGCUGGUGGUGGCGGGCCCCAGCAGGACGAACAGGAAGCGGACGGGCACGGGAACCUCCAGCACCGACUCCAGCUCCACGGCCUCCUGCAGCCGCACAAACGCCAUGGUGGGCUGCUCCAGGAAGUCCACGCUGCCUGGAACGCGGCGGAAACGGCGGCGGUCAACACCUCGGAGGACGAUUUAAGGCCCCUUGUUCAUUUGAGAUCGAUGACUCACCCACAAGGACAACGGUGGCCUCAGCGUUUUCUGGAAUCUUCUCGAGCAGCUUGAGCUCGUGCUUGGACUUGGAGCGAUGCAUGCCCGACACGAUGGCGGGUUCCUUUUGCUGGAGAGGUGGGACAUUUUUAGAAUAGUGAAUCUAUUCGGGCUUACGAAUAGCAUCUAUGUCUAGACAGACAAUAUAACAACACUCACAGGCAUAUAUUCUUUAUCCUCUGCAAAGAACGGCUAAUAUUACAGUCAUACUGAGGAGCAGAGACCGUCUCCAUAUACAGUACAGUGGCUUGUAACGCAAAACACCUGUAUUUCAAAUCAUCUUCCACAUUGAAAUGAUUGGAAAUGCCAUUAAUCCGUUCCAGCAUCCCAAAACCCCCAAAGAGUAAUAAUGUCAUUAAAUAGAAUGAAAAGUAUUAAACGUAAGUUUGUGCAUCAUGA